AGUGAACGCUGGCGGCAGGCCUAACACAUGCAAGUCGAGCGGCAGCGCGUCCGACCACCCUCGGGUGGUCGGAUGGCGGCGAGCGGCGGACGGGUGAGGAAUGCAUCGGAAUCUGCCUCGUUGUGGGGGAUAACGUAGGGAAACUUACGCUAAUACCGCAUACGACCUACGGGUGAAAGUGGGGGACCUUCGGGCCUCACGCGAUGAGAUGAGCCGAUGCCGGAUUAGCUAGUUGGCGGGGUAAAGGCCCACCAAGGCGACGAUCCGUAGCUGGUCUGAGAGGAUGAUCAGCCACACUGGGACUGAGACACGGCCCAGACUCCUACGGGAGGCAGCAGUGGGGAAUCUUAGACAAUGGGGGCAACCCUGAUCUAGCCAUGCCGCGUGAGUGAUGAAGGCCCUAGGGUUGUAAAGCUCUUUCAGCUGGGAAGAUAAUGACGGUACCAGCAGAAGAAGCCCCGGNUAACUCCGUGCCAGCAGCCGCGGUAAAG
rnacentral:rRNA from 1 species